UAUUGUCCCUCCUUGAAAGCUGGAGAGAGAACUUUCCAGUUUUUUCCGGGAUGGCUCAGCUUCUGCUGCUGUUCAGUUAUUCCCAUGUGCCCUACAAUGAUUUUUACGUCCUGGAUUUAUUUCUCCUAAAUAAAAUUCUGGAAGACCUGAGCUAAACCCAAGAAAAGCUCCUCACUAAAACAAUUAACCAUUUGAUUCUGCCUUGAGCCUGUUUAUCCUGCAGUAGCGUCUAUAAAAUCAGCUAUUUGCAUGUGGCAAAUCAAGUUCAGGAGGCUUGAAGUGAGUUCAUCCCAGCUCAGAAAUCCAUAGAACAGCAAUGUAAACAUCCACGUGGCACUUCUUCACACCACCUCCCAUGAGUGAGACAUACACUCACUCCCUCAAGAACCCAUGGAUUUUCUAAUGAAUGGGAGUCACCUAUGUGUACUCUAUUUGUGACAUGCACAUUUGCAGUUGGGGUCCACAGGAAGGACACCAUUUCCUGGAUCAAACCACAGAGUGCAAAUAUUGUGCCCUAAAUAACACACUAGUUACUGUAAAUGUCAGUAGAGGGAGUUUUUCCUACUUUGAUUUAAUGAAAGCCUACAGCAAAGCCAGCUGUUAGCACUUCUUAACUGCUUGUCAGAACGACCAGGGGAGAAUGGGAGGGCCAAAACCAUUUUUUUUCUCUAUACUUUUGUUUUAAAAUUAAAAAAGUUUUCAACAGGUGUUGAAUAGCAGCACCGGAGAUCCUUUACUGCCUGACAUUAUUUAGGUGAUGAAUUUAUAAAUUCUCCUCCGGAAUAGUUACAUAAGGAGAUUCACAGCAAAUUAGUUUGGAGGUUGCAUCUCGAAUCCUCCCACCUGCAAAAUAAAUGUUUUUGUUUUCUGGGCUCCUCCCCAUGAGGAAUAAUAAAAAAAUAAAAAUAAAAGCGAGACACGGCACACCAAAUGCUGGCCCCUCUCUUUGUCACUUUGGGUAUUACCAAGCUAAUUGUGAGCCAUGUGUGUUUUGAUUGAUGUCAUCUGCUUUUCCCCGAACAAAGAAACCACUUGAAGCAAACACAUAGGGAGGAAAGUAUGCAGCUCUCAUUUCUGUAAUUUUUGUCAUUUCUAGAAUGCAUUAGUAAACAUAUGUGGUUGUUAAGGCUCUAACCACCCUUGGAAAUCCCUUAGACGUUCUGCUGUGUGUACCGAGGGGAGAUAAUCUUUCAAAACGUAGGGAAAGUUUACAGUCUCAUUAUCUUGAAGAGGAGAAGAAAGUUUCUUCCUCAAAUGAUUUAUAACUUGAAACAUGUUGUCAUGUUUUGGUAAGCCGGCUUUAUUAAUUCCAUCCUCCUCUGUGGCAAAUUUAAAAAAAUAAAUAAAUAAAUAAAUGUGCCAUUGCAACAUAGUACUUUCUCAAUAGCAUAUUGUACUUAUAAUAGCAAGAUGGAAGUGGCCGGGCUCCUCAUAUAGAAUGUGGAGCCAAGUUCUGAGUAAAACCUCUAAUUGAAUUACCUGCAAAGCACUGACAGACAAGCUUUCAAGACAGACAAAGCUCUGCUUUCCCCCAGCAGAAAUAGGUCAUGUUUAAGUCUGCCGUUUAAGUUUAUCUGUUAUUGGUUUUUGCUAGCACUUUCACCUUGGGCUCCCCCUUCCCCCCGUUGGGCCCCUUUUCCUGGUGCAGAGAAGGAGGUGCUCCGUGAAAGCAGGCGGGCUCAAGCGUGAUCCUCUUGAUUUAGAGAAAAUUGAUAACAGAGCGUGUUAAAUGGGAGAGCCUUUGAAAUAAAAAUCCCAAGUAUUUUUUUCACAGAUUACCCACGUUCUUGCAUGAUUCUUUAUUGCAUUGCAAAGAGAAGGUGGGGGUAUGAAAGUAGCCUUUCUAUAGAAGUUGGAUCCAUCUGCAAAGUACUGUUUGUUUUAACUUUGGGGAAGAAUUGGAGAACAGGUUCCUGGUGUUGAGGUCAGGAAGGAAUUUAUGAUAGACCAUUUGUCUACGUGGAAAUGAAGAGUAAUCGGUUGUUUUCUCCUUGUCUCUUUCCUUCUCUCUCUCUCUCCCCCUCCCCACAGCUUCUGCAAUCCCAGAUAAUGGAAGAAGGUCCUGUCUAAAGCUCAAAGUCUUUGUGAGACCAACAAAUAGCUGUAUGAAAACUAUAGGUGUUCAUGAUCGUGUUUUCGAUGUUAACGACAAAGUAGAAAAUUCAUUAGAACCAGCAGAUGACACCGUACAUGAGUCAGCCGAGCCAUCCCGCGGCGAGAACGCGGCACAAACACCAAGGAUACCCAGCCGCCUUUUGGCAAUCCUACUGUUCCUCCUGGCGAUGCUUUUGACAUUAUAGCACAGUCUCCUCCCGUCACCUGUCACAGAGAACAUCAGGGUCUUGGAACACCAGAGAUCCACCUAACUGCUCAUCCUAAGAAGGGACUUAUUAUUGGGUUUUGGCAGAUGUCAGAUUUUUUUUUGUUUGUUUUCUUUUUCUUUCAGCCUGAAUUCUAAGCAACAACUUGGGGCUGGCGGGGGGGCUAAACGCGUUACUGCCUGCCCCACCCCCACACCCCCACCCCCGGCCCUUGCCCUUGACUUCUUUCACCCCUCCCAAAUUAAAUGCACUCCAGAUGAAAAA